rnacentral:rRNA from 1 species
AAGUCGAGCGAUGAAGCACCUUCGGGUGUGAAUUAGCGGCGAACGGGUGGGGAACACGUGAAGAAUCUGCCUUCAACUCUGGGAUAACUCCGGGAAACCGGGGUAAUACCGGAUAUGAGCCUUGAUCGCAUGAUCGGGGCUAGGUAAAGUUUUUCGGUUGAAGAUGACUUCGCGGCCUAUCAGCUUGUUGGUGAGGUAAUGGCUCACUAAGGCGACGACGGGUAGCCGGCCUGAGGAGGGCGACCGGCCACACGUGGGACUGAGACACGGCCCAGACUCC